rfam:Ipomoea nil DNA, scaffold: scaffold0681, cultivar: Tokyo-kokei standard.
GCUCUUGUAGCUCAAUUGGUUAGAGCACCCGUUUAGUAAUCCGGAGGUCUUGGGUUCAACUCUCAACAAGAGCA